rnacentral:rRNA from 1 species
UACGGGGGGGGUAAGCGUUGUUCGGAAUUACUGGGCGUAAAGGGCUCGUAGGCGGCCAACUAAGUCAGACGUGAAAUCCCUCAGCUUAACUGGGGAACUGCGUCUGAUACUGGAUGGCUUGGAUUCGGGAGAGGAAUGCGGAAUUCCAGGUGUAGCGGUGAAAUGCGUAGAUAUCUGGAGGAACACCGGUGGCGAAGGCGGCCAUCUGGACGAUGACUGACGCUGAGACGCGAAAGCGUGGGGAGCAAACAGG